rnacentral:rRNA from 1 species
GACAGAGGGUGCAAACGUUGUUCGGAAUUACUGGGCGUAAAGGCGAGUGUAGGCGGUUUUCUAAGUCAGGUGUGAAAGCCCCGGGCUCAACCCGGGAAGUGCACUUGAAACUGGAAGGCUAGAGUAUCGGAGAGGUUGGUGGAAUUCUCGGUGUAGAGGUGAAAUCGUAGAUAUCGAGAGGAACACCGGUGGCGAAGGCGGCCAACUGGACGAAUACUGACGCUGAGACUCGAAGCGUGGGAGCAACAGGAUAG